GUCUCAGUUCGGAUUGGAGUCUGNAACCCGACUCCAUGAAGCUGGAUUCGCUAGUAAUCGCGCAUCAGCCACGGCGCGGUGAAUACGUUCCCGGGCCUUGUACACACCGCCCGUCAAGCCAUGGAAGCCGGGGGUGCCUGAAGUGCGCUGCCGCGAGGAGCGCCCUAGGGUAAAACCGGUGACUGGGGCUAAGUCGUAACAAGGUAAC
rnacentral:rRNA from 1 species